AAAACAAGAGAGAUACGAGGAAAUAAAAAGGGGCAAGUGCCCAGAACCUCGAAAGAAAAGAAAAAGUGAGACGAGAGGUAAAAAUGGACAAGUGUCCGACAGUAGAAUUAGGGGUACAAGAUACCCACCUGAGAGAAAAGAAAAAGAAAAUAUAGAGCAUCUUAUUCUCCUCAAAAAGUAUUAAAAGAGCAAGAAAGGUAUGUAUCCCCUCAAAAGAGCAAAAGCAGAAUUAGACUUUCACUAUUAUUUUCACCAUUAUCACCAUUCAUUUGCCACACAUGCACAUCUUGAUUUGACUUAUUGACUUGCUCUUCUGGAUCCAUGGUUUGACUAUGCAAUAAAUGUCUUGUAAGUAUGUAUUAGCUGUCUCCCACCUAUGAGCUCCAGAUAUCAAUACCUUAUUAGAGUAGGGUGAGAGAGAAGGCAAUGCCAGUAUGCCUCAUACCAAAAAUACCACAUACUUGGAGAGAAGGCAUACACGAGUACUGCCUUGGUAAGGAUCCAGAAAUACCACAAAAGAGACAAUAGAGAGAGUCAUACAAGGAAUCUCUGAGUUUUAUUUGAAAAUCUGCAAAAACUCUAGAGCUAUAGUUAAUCGAAGAACAAGAGACAUGGCGCUUGAUUAGACCGUUCUAUCUUUUAACUGCUCAAGACACAAGUGACAGUUGCAAGCCCCAUGGUGGAAGGUAAAAUGAGUAAAUUUAAAUCUUAACAGUUUACCCUAACCCAGAGAUGAGAUCUUGUUUGAACGCAUGUGUACCUUUAAGGCAUGAAACCACUGCAGAAACUCUUGAGUCCAUCUUUGCUCACGGACGAGCAAAGGUUAAGCUUGGGGGAGCUUGUUGACGGUCCUUAAUGCUCACAUUUAACCGUUAACUAAUCAUGGAAAAGGAUCCAAAUGCAACCAACACCCAGACUUAGGGUUUUAUCUGACAGAAUUCCAUGAGUUUUGGUGUUUGUCUAUUUCUGCAGGGGGUUAUCAGGAAAUACGGAAGAAAGGCCCACACGUCGGGUUUACAUAGAGAUAUUAACGUACCGCGCAAUUUUCUAUCAUCUAGAAGACGCUAGAAGCCACGGGAAUGAACGGGAAGCCGAGAGGGCUCAGGGAUAGGGCGCCCGCCCACCUUCAGUGUCCAAUUCGGACCCGUUUCACGGAUCACGCUCCACCGACCUAAAGGAUCAAGGAAAACCGUGCGAUUAAUGUCGCUUUGAUCCGACGGCCCAGAUUCAUUUGAAAAGACUAUAUAAGCAAGCCCCCUGGCCCCUGGAGAUCAUACCUCUUCUACAGAAUCAAAGCUAGGAUUUCAAUUCUUCAUCCAAGUAGAGAGGAUCCCUCUAGUUCAUCUAGUUCUAGUUCUAGUUCAUUAAGUUCUAGUUCCUCUAGUUCUAGUUCUAGUUCGUUCUAGUUGUAAUAUAGAAAAUAGGGAGAGAGAAGAGGAGAGCAGAGGAUGAGGAGCCGGAUCUGUCGGAUCUUCCUCAACAUUGUACUUUUGUAGCAACUGGUUCGUUCUUCAUCGUUCUCCAAGUUCUUCAAUUCAUAAUUCCUGAGUUCUUUAAUUACUUUUAUUUACAUUCAAGUCUUUUAUUGGAUUCCCGCUUGCAUCAAGUGCUCUAGUCUUUAUAACGCUAGAGUAGUAAUUAAUAGAUUAGACAUAGUGUUUAGUCUUGCAAUUACCUGGAAUUGCACCCAAUCCUGCGGAUUGUUGUGGUAGACCUAGGGUAGUGACAGCCCUAACGGUCGACGUAUUCCACCUCGUUCGGAUCGGUGUUUGUAGGACCGUAGUCAGAGCUUCCUAGCCCCCUUCUCAUCUUUUUCUGUGGUUAGUGUUUUGAUGUCCCGAAAUAUAUAAUCUUUGAAGUAAUUCUUGAUUCUUAGAUCAACUAGAGAACUCUCACGAAACUUCCUCUCUUCCCACCAAAAAUAAUUAUAUAGUUAUCCUUGGGCGAUCUUGAAUCUUAAUUAGUACACUCACGUUCCCUGUGGAAAAUUGAUAAUCUGGAAUACUCCCGGGUGAAAGCUACAUCGGUAUCCGUGCACUUGCGGAUUUUCUGUUUGCGUUUAAAAUACCCAACAGAACAUCUGUGUUCGAUUUGGUACCUUGUACACCCCAGGAGACUUCGUGGUGAUAGAGACCGGUAAUGAUGAGAGGGCACCCAUCAUCUUAGGGAGGCCAUUCUUAAACAUCUUGGGAGCUGUCAUCUAUGCUAGUGCUGCCAAGAUCAGUUUCUACAUCAAAUGGAGGAAGGAGACGUCUUCCUUCAAGAACAAGACUACACAAAUCCCAGAACAAUCUCGAUAUGAACCAAGGAAAAGGACCAACAGGAGGAAUAGGAACAAGCAAGUGUGGACCGAGUCAACUAAGAUGGUCACUGCAGUUCAUGAAGGACAAGAUCAUUGACUUAAGUCACCAUUUCUGACCAAGAAGGACGACCCAGGAAUGCCAAGCAUCUAUUGCUCCAUAAAUGGAUACAACUUCUACAAGACGUUUUGCGACACCGGAUCGGGCGUCAACAUAAUGGUCGUAGUCACCUAUCGGCUCUUGUUCAGAACCAUGCUCCUAAAACCAACAUACAUUCAGCUCCAGAUGGCAGAUCAGACAUUUCGAGAGGUUAAAGGUAUAGUAACUGAUGUCCCUAUCAAAAUAGACGAUCAUUUUGUCUACACAGACUUUCAGGUUAUUGACAUGGGAGAAGACGUAUACGAUCCACCCGUCAUCCUUGGAAGACCGUUCCUCAGCACCGUUAAAGCAAUCAUCUAUAUUGGAACUGGAGAAGUCCAUAUGCACUUCCCCUCAGAGAAGGUACGCCGCUAUUUUACUGACCCUAACUAUAUCAUUGAAGACUCUAAGCAGGUCUGGACAAGAAGAAGACGACGCAACCGCAACUAGAAGAGGCAAAUCAUCAAGGACGGAUGGGCAGACUAUGAAGGAGAAGUCGUAAGGUCUGAAGACAUACAGCUUGAACAAGAUUAUCCUGAGAAGACCGUAGCACCGAGUCAGGUGUGGAAAGAGAAGAUAACUAUACAUGAAGAGGAGGCGCCGCUGGAAGCACCAACUGCGCUACCAAACGAACCCCAGGACAACUGAGAAAACGGAAAGUCCCGUUCGGAGGACUUAAAAACACCGAACGUCUUGCCAAGAGGUAAACUUGGUAGUUAUCCUUUUUCAUUUCAAAUAUUUAAAAUAGUUUACUUAGUUAAUUAUGUUCAUACUAUCCUAAAAAUAAAAUAAAAUGUUAAAAGAAUAGUAAGCCCCAUGUGAGAAUACGAGUGGCAUAAAACCCAUAAGUACAUUCACUGUGGUGGCAUAAAAAUAAAAUAAAUAUUUCUUUUUUGCUUUAUAAAACGAAAAUAUAAAAAUAGAGAGUAACAUUUAUUGAGGAGGCUCAACAUGAUAAAGGCUAGAUAUUUAUGCUAACACCUAAUCAGUUCCACAAAGCUUUGUUGUCCAUUUGAGCUCCACAGAAUUCAAGAAUCAAGAAGACUAGGAGACGGAGGAGAAAUCGCUGUCAGAUACUGUCGACUUUCAAAUACACCUCUGCCACCUGCUAGCUACAUCAGAAGAAAUUACGUCAAAAAUCAGCUUGGGGGAGAGCACCCCCAUUUAUCUCGCUAAGUAUUUCUAUCUAUCUUUAUACUUAUACUAUGUUAAAAUAUAAAUAUAUAUAACUAUAAAAAAACCAAAUAAAGAUUUUGUGCUUAUAUAUAUAUAUAUAUAUAUUGCUUAGUAUGCUUAAUAAAUAAAUCAAGCGGCUAUGCUAAACUGAAUCUUAAUAAUAAAACUCUAGCAUAGAUAUGAUAAAUAGUUGCUCUGCCUAAUUUUCAAAUUUGAGUUAUCUAUCAAGUUUAGGCAUAACUAUUAUAAUUUAAAGCUUACUCUAAACCUGAACUUAUGGGAAGAGAACUUGAUCUAAAGUCUAAGUUGUUAACGGAUACGAUAUGGGAAGGUUGAGCUGCUGUUUAUCUAUUCCUAGAGAUGCUAAACUUCUGGAGAAUUUUAUCUUUGAAAAUCUUUAAAAUAUUGCAUGAUGAGUUCCUGUAUGAUGAGAGUUUAAAUUCCUACCACAGCCAUAUAUACAUGCUUGCUAGACUUUGAGCCACACAUUUAUUUUUUUAAUGCUUAUGAGAAUUGAGUAUGGUCAAGCUGUGUAGACCCUUAGGAGCUUGUCAUGUGGUUAAAUCAAGAUUUACUUGCACGUUCACUCACACAUGCUGCUUCUACUCCGAAAGUACGCAUCCACAUAUAUCCACCCAUUUCCAUCUCCAGAACUACCCAAAAAUAUUCUACUCCUAAUCCGGGAGAGACUAGCCAAAAACAUUUCUGUAUUUCCCCUGUAAAAUAAAUGCUCGAGUUAUCUUGAUUACUACCACUUGCUAUUUUAUUUCAGAAGAUGAGUGCUCUAAAAAAAAGAGAAAAAAAAGAUACGUGAAAAUAAAAAGGGGAAAUCAUGGGACCUUUUUCCCCUUGUUUGGAUCUUGUUUACAUUGUUUUCAAGCUCACUGUCGUGUUUUUGCUUCCCCAGUUCAUCCCCACUCGAUGCUGGCCUGCUAGGAGCUUCCUAGGCAGCCAUGAGCGCCUCACCGUACCCGUGGUAAACCCCGCUCCAUCCUCAUACCUUCAAUUUGACCUCUUGUGCACUGGAACACUGAAUCGGUGAGCUCCAAAGAGCACAACCAUGGCGGUGCCAUGGGGCCAUCGUCUCGGUGUGCUCCCCGCCUUCCCCUUUUUGCUCUAUCAAAAUCGUUGUAUCGUGCUCGUCAUCCCUAUAUCCUCCAUUCUGUCUAGAAUGGCCAGGAACCUGACGUCAGCGAGUCACCGUUAAGCUCAGCUUGUUGAUGUUGAUGGUGUCGACUCGAUCACACUUUGUACUAGGGGCAUUCUCCCCUUUCUUCCUGAGCUAUCUGAUCUUUUCCAAACGGCUCAGAUUAGAUACCCCUUUAGGGUUAUGUAACCGGUCCACGGUGGACCGUGGACUCAGUCCGCAGUGGUCGUGUCAGCGUGUCGACAUGUGUAGUGGUGGACCAUGCCAGCCCCUGCCUACCAUAUGGCCACCCAGUCAGCCAGCGACGUGGUCAACCACGACCCGCCAAGUGCAUUUUGCAUUGUAGCCCCUUGGUUUCCUAAGAAUCAAUCCGCCAUCCAACUUAGUUCAAAAGUAUUUCUUUUUAAUCCUAUUUUCUUAUGUUUAGCCCUUGUACUUUUGAAUAAUAGUACGCACUGUCCUAAGCACAUUAAAACUUUGUUUUAAAUUGUUUAAAUUCAAAUUUUGAUUUCAGUUUAUUCAUAGAAUUGCCAUUCAAUUUGUUUUAUGCGUAACUUUUACAUUUUAACUCUGAUUAGGGUGAUUCUUUUGCUCUUGUGCUCGUAGCAAAGCGUAGAGUAGAUUUAUAAACUUUUUAGUCAUUGUUUUUACUGCUUGGUGUACUACUCCAAUAGAACUCUAUUUGUAUGCAUGUGAUUACUGGAUUGGAUGCUUGAUUGGUGUUUUGCAUCACGUAAAGAAGGAGAUCAGGUUGAGGAUGCUGAGGAGCAGGUUGCUGAUCAGUACCCGGAGGGACCUUUUGAGGAAGGCAAGUGUACUUAUGAACAAUGUUUAAAUCAUUAAUAUGCAUGUGUCUAAUCUGAAAUGCCCAUAAGGACUUUACAUAGAUGAUACUUGGACAACAUAUCCUUGUUUCCUAUGGGUUGGUAUGCAUGAUGGAUAGUUGCUGCUAAGCAAAACCCAAAACCAAUAAAUUAACUUGGAUAAUGAUAUAUGCGACAUAAUAAAAUGGUGCUUUUAGCAACAUGAUCCAGGGGGCUAGAGCAUGGGUUUUAGUGCUCUAGAUUCCUCUCCAUAAGGACACAUUCCUAAAGCAGCCACCUAGGAGGUUUCGUACAACCCUGAGAAUUAAAUGGCUCUAACCUUAAUCAUAUAGCUAGUAUGUCCCUAGCGAAUUAGUGGUUACUGAAAGUCGCAAGAGGGGGGUGCCUCAUGGUGUAUAGUUUUCUCUCUUACCUUGGUGUGUAUAGUGUCGCGACCACAUGUGCCUCUUGGAGGAGGUCACCUAUGCACACUUGCCAUUGAAACCUAGCAGAUACUAAUUCACUAGGGUGACAAGUGAAAGGUUAAGUAGUAAAACCCUAUCACACUUCCUUGGUAGAAGUGGUGUGGGCCAUGCAAACCCCGACGUAUGAGAAUCACGGCUUGGUGGGUAAAGUUGUACAAUUUUUGCAGAAAUAAUCAACCUACUAUAGUAGCCUAGCUCACGGUUACGAGUAGCCUGGAUCCUUCAUGUUUAGUGGUUACUAUGGAUGGUUUGGGAUGACUAAAUUUUGAUGUAAUAAUACAUAAUAUGGGGUAGACUGAUAAUUAAAGUAAUGACAUAGGACUCAUAUAAUAUGACUAAAUAAAAUUGGCUAACCGCAGUCAAACCAUGUCGAGCCUUUAAGCCUUCAUAGAUCCCUUUGUUAUACUUGCUAAGCAUGGUGUGCUUACACUUGUUUUACAUUAAAUUAAAAUCCUGAAUGGGUAACAAAUUUCUUUUAUGAGGAGUUCACUAAAGAUGUCCAGGACUACUAGUUUGGAGUUCACUAGUUAGAGCCCCUAUGGCAACAAGGGCUUAGCUUUCCGCUUUUUGUAAUAAUGUUCCCAAUGUGCAAGACUAUGUGUUGUUACUGUGAUGGUUUAUGCGAUGUAAUAAAGUACUUUACUUUGAUAUAUCUACAAUUUGAGAUAAUAUGUUUAUUUGGACAUCCUGGGUGCACAUUUUUGAGUUCUUGAUUUUGUUUAUCAAAAUUGGGUGUGAUAACAAAUAGCACAAAUAGAUUAGUAAUGUUGAAUACAAGAGAGAAGUACAGGGUUGUACCAAUCCUCCACGCAACUAGAUCCGGAAUCCAAGUGUUGCUUGCCUCCUCUAGUUCCUAUUCUUAUGUUCUAGCUAUGCCCUAGUUGGUGGAGCUCUAGGUUGUCCUUUCAAGGGACACCUUUGAACUUAACCAUGGUGGAUUCAUGGAUAUGAGAUUGAUUGCUCAGGGGGCCUACCUCCCCUUAUAUACCUCAGUGGUGUAACACCCUAAAAUUGUUUCCUUGGAAACAGAGCUAAAAUGAUUUAAUUUGGUAUUUUUUGUGCUCAUGAAAAUAUAGGAAAAUAAUAAUUCUCAUUAAAUUAAAAUCUAUUCUAAGGACUUAGCAACUUGUUUGUUCAUUCAUGCUGGAGAAUUCAUUUUAUUGUGCUGAGUGAUUUGACCAAAGUUCAAAAAUAUUUCCAAUAGAUUUUAAAUGGAUUUGAAAAUUUCUUGAAAGAAAAGAAUUUAAAGAAAAGAAAAAAGAAAUUGAAAUCUCUCCCUCUCUCUAUUUUGGCCCGAAGGCCCCGAAACCCUCUUUCUCCCCUUUCGGCCCAGAACCAGCAGGGAGCCCACGCCAUCUCUCCCUCCCUGGGACCCAAGUUCCCCCUCUCCCUGGAUUUGGCCCAGCUGAGCCCGCAGCGCCAGGCCUCCCACCAGCUCUCGCCCUGGUGGCCCAGCAGCAGCAGCUUGGCCCGCCAGCGCGCGCUGCCCUUCCCUCCCCCUCUCUUCUAUCAAUGGCAAGCCAGCCCCACAUGGCAGCGACCCCAGCUUUCUUCUUCCCAGCGCCAAGUCUGACCGGGACUCUUCUAGGAGGCAACUGAUCUCGAGAACUUAGGGAUUGCCCCCGCCCUUGCCCAACCGAGCACUUUUAUAAGCCCUCUGGCACUGCCGCGCCCUGCCUCGUCUCUGUGUUUGGAUCUCGCCGAAAAGCUUACGAAGCCGCUGCAGUGGAGCACUCGAUUCGCUACCGUGUCAGCGAAUUGAAGUAGGGUACGAGCUCAACAACGCUCCUACGAGGUUGCCAAGCCCUCUCCGUCUUUCUCUUGUGCUCUCGUCUGCUCGCUGACCCACGCCGGACUACGCAGGACGCUGAGCUCCGCCCGAACGUGUCACACGCUUCCCCGAGGUCUCCCCGAGCUGCGAUAACCCCCAAGGUGAGUUCACGUUGGUCCCCUCUUGCUUCCCAUGCACUUGGAUUGAAGUUUUGAGCACUGUAGCGUGAUUUCCCAUGAACUUCAGUGUGUUUGGCCCCCUCCGGCCAUGGCGUCGCCGCACUGUGUCUAUUCCAGCUGGCGCCAAUCUUUCCCCCUUCUCCCAGAUCGGAUCACGGUCGUUCGCUUUUAAUUCGACGGCCAACUGUGGCCGAUACCCUUUCGGCCGGCAUAUUGUUAAGAAGUCCCUGAACUCUUUUAUAAUAGAACCCACCGUCCUUUGUGCAUUCCCAGCUUUACGUUUUCUACUAGGUAAUGUGCUCGUGCGUUGCUACGGGAUAGUUAACAAUUUAUACUAAAAAUACAUGCAUCGCACGAUAAAAUAAUAAUACUGUAGAAAUUAAAUUAUCAACAUUAAAAUAAUAUUUAAUCCAAAAACAAAGUUUAUGUAAUCAACAUAGUUAUGAAGAGUGCGGGGUCGCAGGCUCACAAACUCUAAUUUUGUGAUGCGACAAAGAUAAAGUUUUACACUGAUAGAAAGAAAUCUUCGAUAUCCAUUUUUUUCAUACCCCAAUCAAUUUGAUACCCAUUUUUUUUAUGCACCAAUUAAUCCACGAAUAAAUUCCGCCGCAUCUCUAUACCAUCAUGUACACAAGUUAUAUAUGUAAAUAUUAAUACUUGUCACAUGAGUAAUACUGCUUGUCUUAGAAAAUCUCUCACAAAACCUUAAAAUAAAGUAGGUUAUCUUCACCAUAUAAACUUGUAGCUUUAGGUCUAUUCCACGCAGACAUAUACCGUAGAAUAAAAUAUAAUUGUUUACAUUACCAUAGUAAUUUUUUUUGCAUAAUAAUUUAAUCGAUUAGAAAAUAAUUGUAACAGAACCGUCCAAUUUAUAAGAAUUCAAGUGAAUUAGCGACCACAAAGUAGUCAAGCCAAUGGACUUGAACCCAUAUAAACCUGGUAGUCCGACAAAAUCUCAAAAGACCUCGAUUCAACCAACAUACAACCAAGAUCGUACAUGAUCAAGCAACGCCAUCACAGAUUACAUACAUUCAUCACAGAACAUAGUUUUACAUCACAUCGGAGUUUAAACAAAGUUAUUACGAACCAGUUUAGUAGCGGAAGCAAAGUAGUUUUGAAACAUCAUACACACACAUGCCAGUCCCAUAGUCAUCCCAACAAAAGCAUAACUGAAGAUAAGAAAGUUGAUCAUGCCCAUGAUCUAUUCAUCGUCCGCAGCCGGAUGAUGACAGUUAGCACAGUAGCCGUGGUAAACGACAUCAUCUGCAACAAGGGUAAAUAAAACCCUGAGUACGAGAAUGUACUCAGCUAGACUUACCCGUCAUAAACCAGAAAUAAAGUGACACCAAGAAGUAUGCAAGGCUGAUCUUUGUGGACUGAUUUGACUCACUUUUUUGCAUAAAAAGCUUUAGUUGUAAGUGACUUACUUUUAACAUUUCAGUAGUAGGUUUAUUACUUAACAAUAACCCACUAGAUUAGCACCUGUUCUAAGCAUACACUUGAGUAUUUAAGCAUCACAAUAAUAACUAUAUGCGGAUUACCACAUAGCUAUCAACAUUCUCAUCAUAACCAUUAAGUUUAUUUAGUGAGUUCUAUGUGCGACUGCCCGAGUCAAGUUCUCACUAUUCGGGAGAGACCGCGAUUCGAAUCGAUUCCUAUCCAGCUGGAGGGGUAUUCCUAGCACUCACCCAAGCAUACUUCAUGAGGGCAGCUCGGAUCACCUUUAGCACAACUCUGGACCAAGUCUCGGGUCCAUACAGCGCCACACCCCAGGGACCGCCAAUCUGCCAGGGUCAGGACUCUAACCUGACACCUCGGUCUUACGCCAUUGACUCCCCGCACAUCCUUGCUACCAACUGGAGUGCGCACUUAAACCGAACAGGGUAUCCGGCCAGAGAUGCACUCGUAGGCUUCGCGGUCGGAACGACUUAUCCGGCCAGCUAAGUGUUAGGCAUGUGUUCAACAUGACACGAGGACGUUACAGCGAAUCAGUCCUUAAUCGACACAGACGGGGAUAGAUUCACACCCAAGACCUCCAUGCCUUGUUGCUGCACUAUCGUCAUCCCGCCCGGUCUCAAGUUCAUUAUUAGCACAUGGUUAAUUCCACGAUAGCAAAUAUAGCCAACCGUGAUCAGCAUCCACCUAACUCUCGCAGGUGACCGGAAAUCACCCAGCUUCUACCGAGCUAAGCAUGGCUAAGCAUUAUUUCGAUCCUGGACCUACUUAGGUGAGGUAUGAGGUGGACAAGGUAGUCAUUAUGCAGCAAGGGUGUCAUAUCAACGUCUAACACUUAGUGCAACAAUACAUAAACAUAGUCAAUUGAUAGCUGGACAUGAUAUCAAAAAUAGUAGGAGGCUUAUAAUGCUCCGGGGCUUGCCUUCAAUGUAAGUAGAGGGGCGGUGGUCAGGGCACUCCGGCAGAUCCUCCUCCUCAGCUCCUCGAGGUGGCGCCUCUUGCUGUUCCUCCGGCUCGGGCAAUUCGUACUCCAGUACCGUCACUCCCUUGGGUACACCUAUGUAUGCAUGACAAGGUGAUAAAUAUAGGGAAUGCACAUAACAUGCAAUAUGUCAUGAUGCUGAGCCAAGGAAUACACAACAAAGUAUAAACAUGGACAUAAACUCCUAAAAUUAAGCGAAUCAUAGAAUAACAAGUAAGUGCAUACUUCUUCUCUGGUAGAGAGGCUAACUAGACAAGUUAAUCAACCUUAGCUACUCCUACUCAGUCACUGGUUUCAUAGACAGACCAACUUGUCACAAGUUUCAGCUAUAACUUAAGCAUCAGUUGGCCAAACUAAGCAAAUAGAUACUUUGGAAAGCUUAGUAAAUUGUCUACAAUUCACUUUUAGACAUCCCAGAAUGAUUCCCAACCGAAAUAUGCUAAAACAUACAAACUUGGCUGGCUGUCCUAGAAAAUCUAGAGAGCAAGCACUUUGCAGCAGCUACUUGUAACAUUCAUAACUGUUAAACUACUCAACCAAAUGUCAUGAAACUUGGACACGAAGUACAUAAGCAAGUUAGCUACAAGUUUGUUGUAGACAAGUUUCCCAGAAAACAUCAUCUUCAAUUAGUUCUUAAGCAAUUGCUAUCAGCUACACAGAAUUGCUCUAGGAAAGGCAUAAAUAGCAAAAAUAAUAUUUUGCACAUAUCAAGAAUGUAUCAAAGGGUCAAUCCAAAUGCACCAGUAGAUAGAACAUGUCUAAGAAACACUAGAAAACAUCAUGGCAAGGUCUAAACUCAUUUCUAUCAUCACCUUAUCCAUUUAUUUAAUUAUUAAGGUGAUUUACUGAACAUGCAUCCCAAGUGCUCCAAUAAUUCUAAGAAAAUUACAGCAAGCUACUUAUGCUAACACAAGGUUACUGUGAGAUACAAAAAUAACAAGCUAGCAAAGACAUGCAAGGCAUAAAUGUGAAACCCUACCAAAAAGUGUCAAACAACAGAUUUCAGAUUUUUCCUAGCUUUGUUUACACAUGAGUACAACACUCAGCAAGUUUCACCACACAAGGAGUUAUAACUUAUUUACUAAAAUUACCACAAGAAAAUCCUAUUUAAACAAGAAACAUUUAUAACUUCACAAUCAGUCCUCCAAAAAUAAUGAUAAAUUUAUCAGAGUCUAUUCAUGUCAUAAGUAACCAUACCCUAAAUUUGCAUGGCCAUCAGAUCAACAGAUCUCAAGAUAUAAUUACCUCCUAUAUAAUCAAGAUUAAAUCAUAUCUAUUUAUUUCUGCAAAAACAUGGCAUGUUUCAUAUUUUUAAUAAAAACUAGAUUACCACCAAAACCUAGCAAAAUUGGAACCAUGUCAUUUGGAUCUAUAAAACUCGGGAUAUGAAUUUUUCAAAACACCACAGAACCUACUAUACAAUGAACCGGAGUGUGAGAGGGAGAGACUGACAGGUGGGAUCCACUGACACACGGGACCCACGCGACAGAGGGACAGAGACAGGGGAGAAGCUCGUCCCCGGCAGAACUCGACGACGGCGAGGUCUCCGAUGGAUCCAAGGGCAUCUACGUGUUCCUCUCCUCAAGGCGACUCCGUUGACCUACUUCACUCGCGCUCUACUGGACCCUAUGGUGCUCGCCGUCGUGAAUGGCAGAGCGACGGUGCUGCGCGGUGUUACGCCGGCGAAUCUAGGCAACGGCGACGCGGUAGAGCUUGCUGACAAGCAAUAGCGACUCAAGACGAAGCUAUAGGAAGAAGAAUCACGGCCGGAGGUGAACCAGAGAGGUCUGGCCACGUUGUCGGUGAUCUCUGUGAACUCCGGCGAGGUGGAGCUCGCGACGGAGUUGGCAAUGCGACCUCACCGGUGCUCGGCUAAGGAAAAGGAGUGGACGUCGAGGUAGAGGACAUCGAGGCGGAGCUCUAGGCGGACUGGCUCGGCCAGAGACGCGGUGGAGCGGCCGGGAGAGCUCGCCGAAGUGCGGCGGAGCUCCCCUAGGCGAUGGCAGAGCGAAAUGGGAGGCUCUGGAGGCGUGAAUGGCGCGUCUGAGGCAUCCACUCGGUGCGUGGCGUCUUGUCGACGGCGUACGGCCGACACCUGGCCGGACACGCGGCGGCGGAUGGCGACUGUCCAGACUGAAACGUUUUCUGAAUCGCCCGAUCCCGACGACUAAAACUCCAACUUCGUCGAUGUUUUACUCUCAGCUCACUCGGUGGUUUUGGUUCAAAUUUGUUCCUUGGGUUAGAGCUACAUGAUAUCUACAGGUUUGCUAACAAGAUCAAAGUCUAACUCGGCCUGGAUUUCAAACUACAAGGCUCCCAAUAACCCUAUGUCGAAUCUGCCGAUUCCCACACUUAGCCAAAUUCGGCUAAGUGUAGAAACAGCACUGUUUUCAGGCUUGUGGGCCACUUUUGGUCAGGUUCCAUGCAUUUUCAUAAAACGUCAUCAACAUAACUUUUGUAGCUUAUAACAUUUACUACAACUUUGUUUCAGGUGUCAUUUACAUGCAAGGUUUCUAACAUCAGUUUUAUAAAACAUCUUUGAAAGGAGGUCUAGGGGGACAAUUAGGUCAACCUAGGGCUAAUCAUGACCUAGAGGCAUCUUUGGCCAAAACCUCCAACAUGAACUUUGUUCAAAAUGUUGUUCUAAACUUGAUUAAAGUAUUUUGGAAGACAAUGCACACUUGUAUGCCUUAGUCACCCAUUACAAUCAACCAUAGCAAGUCAUAUAGCAAUUCAAUCACAUAGUAUAUGUAGCAAAUGGCAUGUGAUCAUGGUAUGAUGCUCAAGAGUGAUCAUGAUGAUGCUUAUGUUGAUGCAAAGCUCAUGGUUAACAUGCAAGCUAACACUAGGAGUGUUACAAUAAUCAUUACCCGACACUUCAAGGAUUACGAGUAAUGUUCUUUCAGACAUGCAAUAGCUUUGUUGUGUAUGCCUUCUUUGUCGAAAACCAACAUAUAAUUGUUGACACUAGCUAACACCACUUAGAUACUAGGUUGUCAUCCCUAGCAUGGCGCCAGAGUGUACAAAGGUAUUUAUAAAUGUAAAGGGCUCUCUAGAAAAUAAUCUAUUCUAUCCGCAAGCGCACAGAUAAAACAUCUCAUUGUAGCAUUUCACCAGGAGAAGUAUUCUAGGUAUCGUUAUUUAUAAUUUUGCUCAAGGGAUCUCAAGAAGAUGGAAUUAAAUCAAGGGGGCAAAAUCUAUCAAGGCAUAGACUAGAGAUAAACUUGCAAGAACAUGAUUACUAAUAAGAAACUCGUCACACAGUCACUUACUUUAGCAGGGGGUAAACCAUAAAGAUAAUGAUAAUGAAAUAUUAAGUUCAUGGGAUAAAGAGCACAGCGAUUAGAAAAUAGACUACUCUUCAUAUAUGUAGGUGAUGUCGGAUUAGCUAGAGAAUGGAUUCUAAGUUAUCUACUAACUACUAAGUCAUAAUCUACUCUAGUUAUCUACAAGAUCAUAUAUAGCAUAAAAGACUCUUCAUUCAUGUGUAAGGAACAUUGAUAAAGUAAAUCAGAGCAUCGCAUGACUUACUCCACAAUACCGGUUCUGCCUGUCCUAUCAACGGAGGGUGGACUAUAUAAGAAUCAACGAAGCUGUCACUAUCGCGAACUACCACAUGACUCGGCCAAUAGGAUACAUUUGCAGAUAAAUAACAUCUAAGCACCACGCUCACAUGUGAUCUAUCACCUAACUCCCUCGCGUGAAGAGCUAAGCGCUUUGCAAACUUAUACAUAAACUCAUUAUCAAUUAGAACUAUAUCAAAUAUAGAACUAGAGCAAACUAAGAACAUAAUAAUUAGAGACAUAAUGCAAUUAGAACAAUAGAAUUAGAGAAAGAUAUGAAUAAUACCAAUCUUUAUUACCGAAGAUCCGAAUCCAGAGCGUAGUGCUCUACUUCUCUAAUUGCUAUCUAAUCAACCUCUAAACUUGAAGGAUUAGGGAGUAGCUAAUUCUAAUUCUCUGUGGGAGAGAAGCUCUAAACCCUAUCUUUGAUGGCUACCUCUGAAUAAUGAUUUCUCCUCUCCUCCUCCAGGGGCCAGGGGGUCUGGUUUUAUAGUCCCCUCAAGUGAACGUGAGCCAUUGGAUCAAACCGACAUAGAUUGUAUGGUUUAGAUUGAUCCUUUAGGUCGGUGGAGUCUUGCCCCGAAGCAGAGUCCUGUUUGGCCUCCAACCCUGGGCGGGCGCCCAAGGGGGGUGGGCAGGCGCCCUGCCCCCGAGCCCGAAUCGCGUCCCGUUCGUUCCCGUGGCCUCUGGAUCCUUCUAGAUUGAGGAAAAUUGCGCGGCACGUAAUUAUCUCGUUGUAAACAUGACAUGUGGGCCUUCUCUCCACAUUCUCUGAUAAACCCCUGUAGAAAUAGAUAAACACCAAAGCUCGUGGAAUUCUGUCAGAUAAAACCCUAAUUCUAGAUGUUUGUUUCAUAUUGAUCCUCUUUCAUGUUUAUUUGAUUAUUAAUUUUAGUACUUAAGGACCGUCAACAAACUCCCCCAAGCUUACCCUUUGCUCGACCCUAAGCAAACAGCUAAACUCAGACGGAUCAAGAGUUGCUUCGAUGUUUUCUUUCCUGACAGGCACACAUGCUUUUACAUAAAAAUUCUUCCAGAUUAAAGUGAAGUGUUAUGAAGUUUAGUACCUGCACUUAAGUCUUAAGUAAUUGAAAGACAAAAUAGUUAAGUCAAGCACUAUCCCUCCUGUUUAUACUUCACCUUUGUUCUAGAGUUUUUCAUAAGUUUUCAAAAUAAAACUCAGAGUUCCCAGCAAUGAUUCUCUCAAGUCUCUCUAUAUGUGGUAUUUGUGGUUCCUUACCAUAAUGUCACUUACCUAUAGCUAAUGGAAUGUUUAAGUGGAGCUCAUAGGAGUGAAAACAGCUCAUACAUAUGUUGUCUAAUCGAGCCAUGGAUCCAAAGGAACUCAGCAUAUAAUUAAAUCAAGAUGUGCAUGUGUGAUGGAGUAAAUGAUAGUGAUGAUGAAAAUGCAUAAGUGAUUAUAAAACUUAAUUCUCAUUGCUCCUUAUAUUGCUAUCUCUUCUCUUCUUUGAUCUUCGCUUUGGGAGAACAUGGGCUCUCUUUUUCUCUCUUUUUUUUUCAGGUGGGUAGUAGAUACCCCUAAUUCUACUGUCGGACACUUGUCCAUUUUUACCUCUCAAGUGGGCAUCUUUGUACCCCUAAUUCUACUCCGGACACUUGUCCAUUUUUACCUCUCGUCUCCCUCUUUUUCUUUCUUUUUCCGAGGUUCCGGGCACUUGCCCCUUUUUAUUUCCUCAUAUAUUUUUGCAUAACCCAUGCCUCUUCUGCAUUGAAUCUUUUUAGAGAGAGAAUAACAAUAUUCGGGACAGUGAGUAAUAAUAUUUUUUAGCAAUUUUAAUGAUUGGCGAUGAAUGCUGUGGUAGAUGUGUGCAAGUGAAUAUCUUAAUUUAACCACAUGAAAAGCUCCUAAGGGUCUACACAGCUUGAUCAAACUCAAUGUGAAUAUAGUAAAAGAUGUUAUAGCAAGUAUGGCUGUGGUAGGUAAUUUGUUAUGCUAGGAACUCAUCAUGUGAUUUGUAAGUUUUCAAAAUAAAUCUCCAGAACAUAGUGUAGUAGGAACAAGAUAAACAGUAGCUCAACUUUAUAUCAUGCCUUUCUCUCACCUAGAAUUUAGUUUUAUGCUUCCCAAAGAUAGUAAUUUUUGUUUUAGUAAUUCCUGGAAGAACUCUAAUAUAAAAGCUAGGUAGUUGUAAGUAAGCAAACAGAGCAACUGUUCAUCAUUUCCAUCAUGCAUCUUUUUGUUUUUUUCUAGAGAUUAAACUUAGCAGAAAAAUAAAGAACACUUAUCUACACACUCUUUUUAUUUUGUUUUCAUGUUUAUAAAGUGCAGCAAGAAAAUAUUUAUUUGGUUUUCUAAGUUUUUUCCUUUUAAGAUAAAUUAAAUACUAAGACAGAGUAGAAUAAAUAAGAAGAGCAAAUAAAAACUUACUUGAUAAAUUUGGAGGAACUCCCCCAAGCUGGAUGUUGACGUCGGUCUUACCCGAUGUUCCAGAACCGCAUCAUGGUUGUGAUGUUGUCGUUCAUUGUUGUUGUAUCUUGUUUCAGCUCUUCUACUGCAGCAGCAUGGUCCUGGUUCCAUUUUUGUUGCUCUUCCAGGAGUCCUCCAUGUUCUGCUUGCGUGUUCUGGAUGUUGAGGAGGGUGUUGUCGGUACGAGUGAAGAAAGCACCGACCUCUUGAUAGUAGUCAUUCGUGAAGGCGUAGGAGGCGUCGGAGUAUCGUUCUGCAUCAAAUUGGGGCGGAGGUCUGGAUCCUGAAGCUCCAUAUGGAUCAGUGGAGUACCUGCCCGUAUGAAAAGGUGGGUUUGUCCACUGGUGAUCUUGGCUCUCCGGCCAUGUCUCCUCUGUUGGCUCUUGUGGUUGCGCAUGACGAGCCCAUGGGUCUCGAAGGACUCGUGGAUUGUAAUCGCAAUAAUGCAGGUGCGCUGCUUCUUCUGGUCCGGGAUCAGCUCCAUACCAAGUGCGUUCUCGGUGAGUGGUUAUCCUUUCAGAUGCCACUCGCUGUGGAGUUCUCUGGUUCACUGGUGUUGCUGCAAUCUCAACCAAAAAGUUUUGCACAGCGUAGAGGCCAAGGUUCGGGUUAGGUAACCGAAUCUUGCCUUUAUCAUCAUACAGCAUAUACAUUAUAUUCCCCUCUUUCUUUAACAUCCGAGCUUGCCUAAAUGUGUCAUAGCCAUGAUAAAUUCUUAAUUCUUCUAUGAAGUCCAAUGAUGAGUUUUCUAGUAAAUGAAGAUUAGAGGCUAGACGAGUGAUAAGUGAAGUACAUCCUACUGGUCCCUGAAGACUAGGUAUACUAAGCCAAUGAGAAACUAAUAGUGUAACAGGUGAAGUGGGUACUUUAUUAAUAGUAGCAUAUAAAAGUUGUAAAUCUCCUACUCUUACUUUCCUAAUAUCAUCACGAUAGAAAAGAUUGUACCCAAGCCAUUUGUGGAACAUCCUUAGAGUGGGGUGUUCCAUGUCACUGGUUUGGGCUUGACUAUAAAAAUUAUCUCUAGAUAUUUCUCUCCAAAACUGGUGUCUCUCAAAGUUGGGUAAAUCGGAGUCAAUGUUCAGGAUGCAUCUUGAAGAGAAACCAAGAUGGUCGCUCAGCUCUCUCCAAGAUAACAUAAUUUCCUGUUUAAACAUCCGAAAAACAAUUCCCCCUCAUAGUAUUGUAAGGUGCAAAGAAAUUCGAGGGUGAGAAGACGAGAACCCAGCUCAGUUAUAUUCCAAAAAUCUGUCCAACCCAUCAUCUAAAAAAUUAAGUCAAAUUUCAGUGUCCAUACCUGUUUCUUGUAGUAGGGUUGGAUCGAGAGUAGGGGUGUGAAUGAAAUCUUUGUUCUUCAAUUGCUGAUAGACUUCCUUCUCUCUUCGGGUCUUUAGUCCAAGAUCUCCUAUCUUGAGAAGGACCUUAACUUGCUGGCCUGAUGAAGAUGAUGGAGCUUGUGUGGGUGUCGGGUCGACGCUCAUCUCUUAUGGCUGUGAGGAGUGUCGGGUUGAACUCCUUGUACCAAUGUUCUUGAGAGCCUUCCCUGCAUUCUUCACCAUCUUAAACAUCCUGCAAACAAAAGUUGACAAAAACACAACUAGUGGAAAAUGUGAGAUAAAAUGUUAGUGGUCAGCUGUCCAGAGUGUCAGUAGUCCAGGGGUUAAUCGUUCAAGACAAGUUUCUAUUUUGGUAGAGCCUCCCCCUACACAACUUUUACUUCCGCUUAGACAACGGGAUCACUACUUGCUAGGUGAUACUUACCCUCUCAAAAGAACUCCAACCUUCCCUUCCACUCUCCUCUUUCUCUCUACUCUCUUCUCUUCACUACAAGAGCUCCUUCUCGGGAAACUGAGACUUGUGUGGUUUUCUGGAGUGUUUGUGUGAAGAGAAGGGGAGCUGGAGGUGGUUGGACGGUGGAAAGAUGUCAGGUGAGUGGAAACAUAUUGGUGGAUGAAAUUAUGUGAUGGGACGUAUGUGAGGUGAAGUGUAUGACAUGUGGGACCCAAAGAGUGUGGGUCAUGCUUCUAGAAGAUCAAUAUAAUGCAGGAAAAAUCUAUGAGAAUUGAAUCUUAAUUAAAAUGAUAAUGGAAAAUAUAUUUUUUUUGUGCCUCCACAAUAAUUAAUAAAUAUGGGUUGUUACACACCACGAAUAUUAUUUAUAUGGUGCUUUUUUAUUAUUAUAAUUAUGCUAUGAAUGUAUAUGACUAAUGCAAGAAUUAAUUAUGCAAGAAUUUAAAUAUGAGAAAAUUAAUAAUGCGGUAAAUACCGAUUUACCUCCCGGUGAGGGUUUGGGAUUUUUAGGUCCCCCAAGCUGGACCUCCAAAUCUUUUAAUCUUCUUAGUUUCCUUCCUCUGGAGAUGGUGUCUCUAGUGGUUCUUCAUGAACUUCCUUUACUGUAGAGUCUCUCUCUGGUCUGGGUUUGAAUGUGAAGUGUUCUUCUUGACCGGUUAUGUUGAACUUGAUUUCUCCCUUCCCGACAUCAAUGUGGGCAUUGGCAGUGCUCAGAAAUGGCCUUCCAAGGAUGAUGGACACUUUUGAGUCAGGACUCAUGUCCAGUACUACGAAAUCUACUGGCACCAGGAAAUCUCUGAUCUUGACUGGAAUGUUCUCGGCGAUGCCCAACGGGUGUCGAACCGAAUGAUCCGCUAGUUGUAGGCACAUUGAAGUUGGUUCUAAGGUUGCAUGAUCAAGCUUCUUGUAGACUGAUGCUGGUAUCACACUGACACUUGCUCCGAGAUCACAAAGUGCAUUGUUGAAGUGUUGGUUUCCGAUCGAGCAAUCAAUAGUGGGGCAUCUGGGGUCUUCCUUCUUCUUUGGUGGUUUGUUGAGGAUGGCCGCACUACAUUCUUCUGUCAGCUUGAUAACCUCAGUGGUGGGUAGUGGUCUCUUUUUGUUAAGAAUAUCUCUGAUGUACUUUGCAUAUGUAGGUACCUGUAUGGCAUCGAGCAGAGGUAUGUUGACAUAUAAUUUCUGAAUGACCUCUACAAACUUACCAAACUGCUCAUCCGACUGCAGUCCUCUGUUUCUUCUGGGAAAUGGCAAAUAGUUGGUGUCGUAAAAAUCUUUUCUCAUUUCUCCAGUUCUUGGUGGUUGUAGCAGAUCUUCUGCUUCAACUGAGCUUUCUUCUUCUAUCACUGCUGGUUGCACUGGUGCUGAUGUUCUUUGUUUCUCUUUUGGGUAUGGUGGAUCUCUGGUAGCUUUGCCUCCUCUAGUAGUUAUAUUCUUUACCUGCUCAAUGUUAGUAGCAACAGGCAGUGCAGCAGCUAUCUUUAUUAAUUUAAGCUCUACCCUUUUAUUAAGAGUGUUUUGCUCAUCAAAGGCAGUUAGUAGAAAAUCCAUUUUAUUGUGUAUAUCUUUUAGAGAUGAUUCAUUUGUAUCUAGCCUUUGUUUAACUUCAUCAUUAAUUUUGGUUUGUUGAGCAAUUAUCUCUUUUAAUGAAAGUUGCUUGAAAGUAUUACCUGAAUUCAUACCUUUGCUAUUGGGUUGACUUGAAGUUGGUUGAUAUUUGUAUGCUGUCUCAAUGGCCCUUUGAUUUUCUUUGAACUUGGCCCUCUGGUCAAUCCAAUGGAGCAAAUUUUCCAUCUUAGUUGAUAACGCUUUUACUUCUUCUGGUAUUUCUUCAGUUUGAUGACAUUGUUGAGCUUUAUCUUGGAACCAGCUUUGGUUUUCUGCUAUCUUAUCCAAAAGUAUCUCUGCUUUUCCAGUUGUAAGCUCCAAGAAUGAUCCUUUAGCAGAUGCAUCUAGGCACUCACGAGUCUUCUGGGUUAAUCCAUGGUAGAAGGUCUGCAUAAGUAACCAUGUGGCCAUUCCAUGGUGAGGACAAUCUGAUAUGUAUCCUUGAAAACGGUCCCAUGCUUCUGAAAUGGCUUCUGUCUUCUGCUGUUGGAAGGCAACAUUUCCUCUUAAGGCAGUUGUUUUGCCUAUAUGGAAAAACUUUGAUAGAAAGGCAUCUGACAAGUUCGUCCAGUUGUUGAUAUUAUCUUGAUGAGUGUAGAACCACUUCCUUGCUUUUCCUUCUAGUGAGAAUGGAAAAAGGCAAAGUAGUAUGACGUCUUUGUCAACUCCGUUGAUGUGGAUUGUGCUUCCAAUCUCUGAGAAAUUCUGCAAGUGUGCACUAGCAUCUUCAUGUGCCUUUCCACUGGAUUGUGUAGCUUGUACCAAAUUGAUGAGGCUUGACUUGAGCUCAAACUCGGGUAUUCCUUCUUCUACUGCAAAUCUUGGACCAGUUGGAAUGUUCUCAAGGCUUGGAGCAGAGAAUUCUUGCAAGGUCUUGGGUGCCAUAGCUUCAGCAAUUGGUAGCUAGCUUCUUCUUCUCUUGAUUGCUUUGGUUCUGAUGAUGGAGAGUUGAAUGUACCCAAAGUCAAUCCUGUUAUACCCUGUAUAAAAAUAUAAACAUAGAAAAACAACAAGGUGAACCUGCCAAAGCAGAGGUGCCUUGUUAUGAUUUCUCACUUAGUAGCUGUUUUAUGCAAUUAUUUCUCUAUAGUCUAGUCUAAUAUUUUAUAUGAAUAACCUUAAUUGAUUUUCUGGCUUUCUUUAAUAUUACCCUUUUGUUCCCUUUUAUGACUUAUUCCUGAGACUCGUAUGAUUCCUAUAAAUCCCCGGCAACGGCGCCAAAAAUGCUUGUUGACACUAGCUAACACCACUUAGAUACUAGGUUGUCAUCCCUAGCAUGGCGCCAGAGUGUACAAAGGUAUUUAUAAAUGUAAAGGGCUCUCUAAAAAAUAAUCUAUUCUAUCCGCAAGCGCACAGAUAAAACACCUCAUUGUAGCAUUUCACCAGGAUAAGUAUUCCAGGUAUCGUUAUUUAUAAUUUUGCUCAAGGGAUCUCAAGAAGAUGGAAUUAAGUCAAGGGAGCAAAAUCUAUCAAGGCAUAGACUAGAGAUAAACUUGCAAGAACAUGAUUACUAAUAAGAAACUCGUCACACGGUCACUUUAGCAGGGGGUAAACCAUAAAGAUAAUGAUAAUGAAAUAUUAAGUUCAUGGGAUAAAGAGCACAGCGAUUAGAAAAUAGACUACUCCUCAUAUAUGUAGGUGAUGUCGGAUUAGCUAGAGAAUGGAUUCUAAGUUAUCUACUAACUACUAAGUCAUAAUCUACUCUAGUUAUCUACAAGAUCAUAUAUAGCAUAAAAGACUCUUCAUUCAUGUAUAAGAAACAUUGAUAAAGUAAAUCAGAGCAUCGCAUGACUUACUCCACAAUACCGGUUCUGCCUGUCCUAUCAACGGAGGGUGGACUAUAUAAGAAUCAACGAAGCUGUCACUAUCGCGAACUACCACACGACUCGGCCAAUAGGAUACAUUUGCAGAUAAAUAACAUCUAAGCACCACGCUCACAUGUGAUCUAUCACCUAACUCCCUCGCGUCAAGAGCUAAGCGCUUUGCAAACUUAUACAUAAACUCAUUAUCAAUUAGAACUAUAUCAAAUAUAGAACUAGAGCAAACUAAGAACAUAAUAAUUAGAGACAUAAUGCAAUUAGAAUAAUAGAAUUAGAGAAAGAUAUGAAUAAUACCAAUCUUUAUUACCGAAGAUCCGAAUCCAGAGCGUAGUGCUCUACUUCUCUAAUUGCUAUCUAAUCAACCUCUAAACUUGAAGGAUUAGGGAGUAGCUAAUUCUAAUUCUCUGUGGGAGAGAAGCUCUAAACCCUAACUUUGAUGGCUACCUCUGAAUAAUGAUUUCUCCUCUCCUCCCCCAGGGGCCAGGGGGUCUGGUUUUAUAGUCCCCUCAAGUGAACGUGAGCCAUUGGAUCAAACCAACAUAGAUUGUAUGGUUUAGAUUGAUCCUUUAGGUCGGUGGAGUCUUGCCCCGAAGUAGAGUCCUGUUUGGCCUCCAACCCUGGGCGGGCGCCCAAGGGGGUGGGAGGGCGCCCUGCCCCCGAGCCCGAAUCGCGUCCCGUUCGUUCCCGUGGCUUCUGGAUCCUUCUAGAUUGAGGAAAAUUGUGCGGCACGUAAUUAUCUCGUUGUAAACAUGACAUGUGGGCCUUCUCUCCAUAUUCUCUGAUAAACCCCUGCAGAAAUAGAUAAACACCAAAGCUUGUGGAAUUCUGUCAGAUAAAACCCUAAUUCUAGAUGUUUGUUUCAUAUUGAUCCUCUUUCAUGUUUAUUUGAUUAUUAAUUUUAGUACUUAAGGACCGUCAACAAUAAUGACAUGCAUUGAAGGCAAACAUGAUUAAGGGAUAAAACAUAAGAUAAAACCUACGGACAACCAUCAUCGUACGUAGUGUACACCCUAAAAAUUUCAUUUUUCCAAAUAGGGCAAUUUGUUUUAAUUAAUUGUUGUGAGCAAUAAGAUAUAGUAAGAAAUGAAUUUUUAUUGAAUUAAAAUUCACUAUAAGGCCUAGACACAUGCUUGUGCAUUCAUGCUGCUGCAUAGAUUUUAUUGAGUGGUGUUUCUUUUAAUUUAAAAUGAUUUUAAAAAUCCAUUCAAAAAGAAUUGAGCAAAAGAUGAAUUUAGAAAAUGGAAAAGGCUCAUCUCUCUCCCUCCCCACUCUCGGGCUCGGCCCACUCCUCCUUUCCCCCCCCCCCCCCCGCGGUCUGCCUACCUUUCCCUCCCCCCUUUCUCUCUUCCGCACGGCCCAGCACCAGCGCGGCCCAGCGCCAGCUCCCGACCCAGCAACCGCGCGUGCGCCUCCACCUUGCAGCAGCUGCUGACUGGGCGGUCCCGCGCCCCGUGUCACUGCCACGCGGGGCCCAUCUGUCGAACCCGUCUUCCACCCGUAGCCGAGCCGGACUCGGUGAGUCUCCGCGUUGGCCACGUGCGAACCCCGCCGUUGGCUUGACCCACACGCCGAGGAGGCUUUAAAUAGCGCCCCUAAAUUGGUAGACCAACCUAUGAAAGGCUUCAUAGUGAACCCUGCCGGUCUUCCUUGGGAGUGGGCUAAGGGUGUAAGGUCCUAGAUGGCUAGAGGGGGGUGAAUAGCCUAUUAAAAAAUCUAUAAAACACUAGAGCAAAUUGUUAGUAACACAAAUGGCUAUAAAAGCGGUUUGCUUUAGCUCUAAUUGUUAGGCAAGCCACCUAUUGCAAUUCUAGUAAUUAUAAUCUCUAUGCACUCACACGGCUAGGUCUCUACUCUAACUAAUUAGAGAGCUAACAAGAUAAAUUGCAAGUAUGAAAGAGAAGGGAAUUUGACUUUUAUACCGACGCUGAAGAGUAGAGGAUGUUGCCAAUCACCAAAUAAUUAAUUCCAACAAUAUUUGUAUCAAACAAUCCAAUUCACCGGGAAACAAGAGAUGACACAAAUAUUUUUCUCCCGAGGUUCACUUACUUAUCGGUAAGCUAGUCCCCGUUGUGUCGACAACACCUAGAUGGUUCUUCGGUGUGACUUGCAAGCCACCCUCGCAAGGAAACCGCAAGACCCCACUCUCAAGUGCGAUAACUCAAUGACACGAGCAAUCCACUAGAGUUGGAAUUUAGCACUCCGCUGGGGAACCACAACAACCCCUCACAAAUAUCACCUUGAUUGGGGGCGGACACAAUCACCAAAUCCCCUCACCAAUCAAUCCAACACCAACCGUAUAGGUGACGGCAAUCACCAAGAGUAACAAGAAAUCCACAAUCCCAACAAUGAACUAGUGCCACAAAUAUGAAUCACAAAUGCAUAAACACUAGGGUUUCCCAACUCCUCGCACCAAAGAGUACCAAUCACGGGAAUGGAGAGGAGAGGGAGGAGAUCCUCUUGGAGCUCUGAAAUCGAUCUCUAGAGCUUUCUCUCUCACCUGAAUGGAGCACAAAUCCUUGGGAGUGAGAGAGGAAAAGGGGAGAGCUUUUCUUUUCUUGGAGUUCUUCAAGAGAGCAAGAAUGGGGAAUAGAUUGAGGAGGAAGAAAGGAAGGGGUGAAACCCGACCUUAUCCUCUGCCAGUCACUCAUCCGACCGUUGCAGCACCCCAAUCUCGCGAGAAAUUCCAGUGCGGGUAGGAAAAAAUUUCAGGCGCACACACUUUUCACCGUUGGCGUGGGUGAACUCCAGUACUGAAAAAUUUCCAAUGCGGGGCAGCUAAAAUUCCAACCGACCCCUCUCUGUUGCAAGCACAAAUACCAGAAUAUCCAGGUAGGGUAGAGAAUAACUCCGAUCGACCCCUUGUUGUUUGGGCAAGACUACUAGCUCGGUUUUCCAACUCAAAACCCCUUUUUAAAGUGCUAACUUUUCCACCAAGUACAAAAAACAAUUGAGCACUUAAGUUAGCAUUUUCACAAUUAAUUGUUAGGGUUUUCUCAGGUAUUCUCACCACGUCACUAAGCGCAAUGCAUAUGCAAAAAAGACUCACACUUAGUGGCACUAGAUAACCAUUGCAAUUCAAGAUUUCCCCUCUUUAUAGUACGGUUAUCUAUCCUAAAUCCACUCACACCCUCUAGGUGUCUUGAGUGGCAAAACAAAAUGGCCCUAUUAAAAAAUACCUUUGCCUUGAGCCCAUUUUGUUUUCUCUUUCUUCUUUUCAAAGUUGGAGCACUUGAAUAUCAUAUUUUCGUCAUCUCCAUCACCAUGACCAUCAUCUAGCUCCAUCACAUGGUGUGUACCAACCUAUCUUUGUAUUUCACUCAUGACAAAGGUUAGUACACAUAGGUUUCAUCAAUUAUCCAAAACCAAACUAGGGCUUUCAAUCUCCCCCUUUUUGGUAAUUGAUGACAACCUUUUCACAAAGAUAUUUAAUAAAACUUUUUAAGUUCAUGUUGCUUGCCCAAGCAUUUUACCAUGUGGAAAGGGUAUGGACAAGUUUCAUAAAACCGAAUUGGUAGCGUUGGCUCCCCCUACAUAUGUGCUAAGAGUUUGGAUUUGAAAGCUUGCACAUAUGCUUUAGAUAGGAGACAUAGGAGACAAUGCCUACCAAAUGAUGCUAAGACGUAAAGAAUGGACCUUUGAAGCGGGAUACCAAUCGAAGUUGCCAUUUAAACACCAUCCUUAGCACCAUGGUUAGUUAGAUAGCACUUGCAAACAAAAACACUAGAUACCUCAUGAGAUCAACAUUAUAAACAUGGCUCUAGUACCAUAUGUAAAAAAACAAAACAUGCAAGGCACAUCUAACUAUCAUCCUAUGCAUGCUAGUAAAUUAUUUCAUCAAUCAAUUUUACAACUAGCAAACACCACACAAGCAUGUAUCGGGGAGAAAAAAAAUUGUGCUAUGCAAACAAGCAUAUGUAAUGCAUAUCCAAAUGCAACAUACAAAUUUAUGAGCAUGCUCCCCCUACUUGUGUGCUUUUAAAAAAAUUGAUCCCUUUCUUUUAGCAAAACCUAUCUUUGUGAAUUACUUCUCCCCCUUUGUCAUCGAUUACCACAAAAGGUGAGCUCAAAAUUUAGAUAGGUUGUGUGAAACCAUGAAAUGUGAGGAUCAUUUUCCCAAAUUUGGUUCAAUAUAGAUUACAUUCCUAUGAUAUUCAACUCGGUUUGACCCAAUGGCAAGCUUUUUCAUACCUCAUUUCAAGGGUUAUCUUGACAAGGUUGAGUUAAACACUUAUAGCUUAUUUUCUAGAUCAAACACUAGGAUUGCAAGCCCACAAACAUGUCAUAUGCUACCACUAGAUCAUUUCAAACAUAGAAGCAAUAGUGGUACCAUACAAGCAUUAAAUUCAUUUUAUUUUCAUGAAUGAGCCUAGGACAUGUGAGGAAUGACUAGAUGCACUAAACAAGUCCUUAGCAAUGGUUGGAUGACAUGUCAAACAAUUUUACCUUGCUUUGCUCGAAGGUGAGGCAUGUCAUAUUAUGGGGGUGCAUCAACACAUAUUUGAGAAGUCAAGUAUGUUCAAUUCAUUUCUCAGCUUGCAAAACCUCUUCUCAUCAAGUGGCUUAGUGAAUAUAUCGGCAAGUUGAUUUUCGGUGCCAAUGCUCUCAAUGGAAAUAUCACCCUUUUGUUGAUGAUCUCUAAUGAAAUGAUGCCUUAUGUCAAUGUGCUUUGAUCUUCCAUGUUGGACCGGGUUUUGUGUCAUUCUAAUUGCACUUUCAUUAUCACAAAACAAUAGUAUAUUCUUGAAAUUAAAUCCAUAGUCCUUCAAAGUUGAUUUCAUACAUAGCAAUUGUGCACAGCAUGCUCCCGCACUAAUAUAUUCGGUUUCGGCGGUAGAUAUUGCCACACUAUUUUGUUUCUUUGAGGACCAUGAAACUAGUGAUCUUCCAAGGAAUUGACAUGUUCCACUAGUGCUCUUCCUAUUGAUUUUGCAUCCCCCAUAAUCAGAGUCCGAAUAUCCAAUCAACUCAAAUUGUGACCCCUUGGGAUACCAAAGUCCAACAUCUAGUGUGUGCUUCAAAUACCUCAAUAUUCUCUUUGCGGCCUUGAGAUGGCUUUCUCUAGGUGAGGCUUGAUAUCUUGCACACAUGGACACACUAAACAUGACAUCCGGCCUAGAUUCGGUGACAUAUAGUAGGCUUCCAAUUAGAGAUCGAUAUUCCUUUUGAUUCACCAUGUUGCCACUAAGAUCACUAUCAAGACUUUCAUUGGUGCCCAUUGGAGUUGUGAUUGACUUAGCAUCUCGCAUCCCAAACUUCUUCAACAUAUCCUUGAUAUAUUUACCUUCACUAACAAAUGUGCCUUCCUUCAAUUGUUUGACUUGUAGUCCAAGGAAGUAGCUAAGCUCUCCAAUCAUGGAAAUCUCAAACUCUUUUGCCAUCAUUUCACCAAAUUCUUUGCAAUAGUCUUCAUCGGUUGAACCAAAAAUGAUAUCAUCAACAUAGAUUUGCACAAUGAAUAGAUCAUUUCCAAUCUUCUUGGUGAAUAGAGUAUUGUCAACCUUUCCCACAAUGAACCCUUUAGAGAUAAGAAAAUUCCUUAGCCUCUCAUACCAUGCUCUUGGUGCUUGCUUCAAGCCAUAUAAUGCCUUCUUCAACUUGUACACAUGGUUGGGUUUCUUCUCAUCUUCAAAACCGGGAGGUUGCUCAACAUACACUAACUCAUUGAUGAUCCCAUUGAGAAAUGCACUUUUCACAUCCAUUUGAUAUAACUUGAUAUCAUGGGCACAAGCAUAGGCUAAUAGGAUUCUAAUUGCCUCCAAUCUUACCACUGGUGGAUAUGUUUCUUCAAAGUCAAGACCCUCUAUUUGAGUGUAACCUUGUGCAACUAGUCUUGCUUUGUUUCUCACCACUAUACUAUCUUGAUCUUGUUUGUUCUUAAAUAUCCAUUUGGUUCGAAUUACAUUAUGAUCUUGAGGCCUCUCAACUAACUCCCACACAUCAUUUCUAGUGAAGUUAUUUAGCUCAUCUUGCAUGGCCAUGAUCCAGUCGGCAUCCUUUAAUGCUUCAUCAAUUUUCUUGGGUUCUUUCAUUGACACAAAUGAUGCAUGCUCACAUAUCAUUGCCAUAGAUCUUGUUUGCACACCACUUCUAAUAUCACCAAUAAUUUUAUCAAGUGGGUGAUUUCUUGCAAUAUGAGUGGGUUGGAGCACUUCAUUUUGAUUGCUUGAGCUAGGUUGGUCAUUUGAUUUAUCAUGUUGGGGUGAACUAGUAUGAUGAUCUUGCAUUAGAGAACCACUAGAUUGCUCGAUGGGUGAUGUGAGCACUUGAUCUUUGUCAUCAACAUGAAUCACUUGCCUUGCUCUAAUGUCCCUAAUGUCCAUGUUCUUCAUUGCUUCUACCAAUUGAGGUCCAGUAACAUCAUCAAUGUUAUCUUCCUCAUCUUGAGACCCAUUGGUUUCAUCAAAUUGCACAUCAUGGACUUCUUCCACUAGACCACUAGCAUUAUUCCAUACCCUAUAAGCUUUGCUUGUUGUUGAAUAACUGUUGACGGUACUUAAAGCUCACAUUUAACUGUCAACUAAUCAUAAAAAAGGAUCCAAAUGCAACCAACACCUAGACUUAGGGUUUUAUCUGACAGAAUUCCAUGAGUUUUGGUGUUUGUCUAUUUCUGUAGGGGGUUAUCGGGAAAUAUGGAAGAAAGGCCCACACGUCGGGUUUACAUAGAGAUAUUAACGUGCCGUGCAAUUUUCUAUCAUCUAGAAGACUCCAGAAGCCACGGGACCGAAGCGGAGGCCGAGAGGGCUCAGGGACAGGGCACCCGCCCAAGUCCUGAGGGCGCCCGCCCUGGAGUUCUGCCCAAUCACGUCCAAACUCGCGGAUCGUGCUCCACCGACCUAAGGGAUCAAGGAUAACCGUUCAAUCAAUGUCGGUUUGAUCCAACGGCCCAUAUUCACUUGAAGGGACUAUAAAACCAGACCCCCUGGCCCCUGGAGAUCAUACCUCUUCUACAGAAUCAAAGCUAGGGUUUCAAUUCUUCAUCCAAGUAGAGAGGAUCCCUCUAGUUCUUCUAGUUCUACCUCUAGUUCAUCUAGUUCUAGUUCUAGUUCAUCUAGUUCUAGUUCUAGUUCCUCUAGUUCUAGUUAGUUCUAGUUGUAAUCUAGAAAAUAGGGAGAGAGAAGAGGAGAGCGGAGGAGGAGCCCGAUCUGUCGGCUCUUCCUCAACAUUAUACUUUUGCAGCAUCUGGUUUGUUCUUCAUCGUUCUCCAGGUUCUUCAAUUCAUAAUUCCUGAGUUCUUUAAUUACUUUUAUUUACAUUCUAGUUAUUUAUUGGAUUCCCGCUUGCAUCAAGAGCUCUAGUCUUUAUAACGCUAGAGUAGUAAUUAAUAGAUUAGACGUGGUGUUUAGUCUUGCAAUUACCUGGAAUUGCACCCAAUCCUGCGGAUUGUUGUGGUAGCCUUAGGGUAGUGAUAGCCCUAACGGUCAACAUUUUCCACCUCGUUCGGAUCGGUGUUUGUAGGACCGUAGUCGGAGCUUCCUAGCCCCCUUCUCAUCUCUUUCUGUGGUUAGUGUUCUGAUGUCCCGAAAUAGAUAAUCUUGAAAUAAUUCUUGAUUCUUAGAUCAACUAGAGAACUCUCAGGAAACUUCCUAUCUUCCCACCAAAAAUACUUAUAUAGUUAUCCUUGGGCGAUAUUGGAUCUUAAUUAGUACUCUCACGUUCUCUUUGGAAAAUCGAUACUCUGGAAUACUCCCGGGUGAAGGCUAUAUUGGUAUCCGUGCGCUUGCGGAUUUUUCUGUUUGCAUUUAAAAUACCCAACAAGCUUUCAGGCGCCGUUGCCGGGGAUCGGUAGCUGUGCUUGUUUCGAACCAAGUCGUCCGUGUAUCAUUUUUCUUUUCCCUUUUUAGUAUACUCACCUUAUCACUUUCACCAUACCACAUGGAUUUCACUCUAAGCAUUAAUGACCAUGGAAUUUAUUUCAUAGCCACUUCAUUUACUCCAUGCUCAUAUGCAACAUCUUCACAAUCCAUUGGUCUCUCCAACAUCACCACAUUCGAGAUCUCCAACCCCCUCUUCCUUUCUAUUUAUAAAAACUUUAAAAGGGCGAUUGUCGAUGCAUAUGUCUAUAAUAAAUUUUGCAGAUCUCGUUGAGUUGAUCUUGAUAUAGGUCAGCGUUGGAGGGGAAACCACUUCACUGACAUAAAUUGAUGGUUUCCCAAGGACAAGCUUAGUGUCCUAAAAUAAGCACUGAUCAGAUCGUAACAUGAGCUUUGAAUUAUUUGCAACAUUACCUUGUGUAUUGAGCAUAUAAGGAUAAUUGUAAAAAAUUCCUUCGGGUGUUCUUGUCACUAACCUUUCCAGGAUUGGAGCAAGAAGAUCGGAUGAAUGACAAGCACAAGGUAUGUCCAACCAAUCAUCAUACAACAUUGAAUUAAAUUCAUCCAAACUUGAAUUUUGCAAAAUUCAAGCUUGGGGGAGUACUUUACAUUAAAAACAUCCUUUGCCAUGUUGCUAUGUUGGUUGUCCCUACCUUUGAGACAUGCUCAAUUUGUUAAAUACUAAUCACACUACUUCAUCCCCACUUGAGUAGAUCUCUAUAAAUGCUCUCAUGCUACCUUUAUUUGCUUUAGUAUAUGUCUAGGUUUGGAGUAGUUUCAUUUAUCUCUUAAUUAAGCAUGGUGCUUAGUUUAGGAAUGAUGAUCUUACUUUCAAAGGAUUUUAAAUUAAGCAUGAUGCUUAGGUUAAAAUGCCCUCCUAAAUCAAAUUAGACAUGGUGUCUAGGUUGAUUUUUGAGCCAAUAGUAUGCUAUAGUAGAUAUUGGAUAUUUCAUUGUACUAACCCCUGUAGGAAAACUUUCAAUAUCAACCAGGGAGGUCCUGAGAUAAACUCACAUUGGAGACAAAGAGAGAGGCACAUAAAGUUUAACAAUUUACACAAGGAAGACAUAGCUCACAAGAGAUGAUCCAUGGAGGGUGCCACAAACACGAUGCAUAACCGCUAAGAAAGGAAAGCUUCCAUAAGGCGAUACUGUACCAUCACUCUUCAAGUAAGGUAACAUAUUAAGGUACUUGACUUUCACUUCUAUAAGCUUCUCCUUGGUUCUGGCGUUCACAUGAAUAAAAGAGACAAACAUGUAUGAUUUACAACUCUAGAUUAACCAACCCAAUCGAUUCAACAUGUUUAGUCCUUCCACCUUUGUGAUCCCACACUGCUAAUCAUAUAAACUAAAAUGUUGCACACUCAAUCUUUGGAAAAUGAUAGUCAUGUAAAGAAAAAAACAUAAGUAUAGAUGGAUUAUCUUUCCAUUAGGUUGAGCGAUCUGAUCUGACAAAUACUUUAAAUGUUACACUCAUGAUCUUAUUAUCCAUCAAAUUUGUCUUGCUCACUAUGCUUAAGGUUAGAGAAGAAAAAAAAUACACUUUUGGUUCUGUUGGUGUUUUCCACCAACAGAGCCCAUGCACUUGAUCUCUGCCUUGUCUCUAUGAGCAGGUACACUUCGAGCAAAAUAUGGACUUUUACAACUCCCAGGCUCCACCAAGUGAAGAACCUAGAUCUACGAGCACAAACACAUUGGAGAUACUGGACACUUAGGCAAUCACUGCCCUGAGAUGGUUGAGGACGUAACUACUGGAGUAACCCUAUUGUGGAAGUAAUUACUGACCUUCUGCCGGUCAAGAGAGAUGAUCCAGGACGCCCCGUCAUCCCGAUCUCCAUCGGCAUGGUGGACUUCCCAGAAGCACUCUGCGACUUUGGCUCCAGCGUCAACAUUAUGCCCAGGGUACUCUAUGAAAAAUUCUUUACACAUCCUUUAUUAGAAACAGCCAUGUGUUUGCAGCUUGCAGAUCGUAUGCUAAGUUUCCCAAAGAGAAUAUUGAAGAACCUCUACGUCUGAGUUGGUACCUUAUACGCUCCAGAAGACUUCGUGGUGAUAGAGACUGAUACUGAUGAGAGGGCACCCAUCAUCCUAGGGAGGCCAUUCCUGAACACCUCAGGAGCUGUCAUCUACGCUAGUGCUGCCAAGAUCAGUUUCUACAUCAAGGGGAGGAAGGAGACGUUUUCCUUCAAAAACAAGACUACACAAAUCUCAGAGCAAUCCCGACAUGAACAAAGGAAGAUCACCAACAGGAGGAACAGGAACAAGAAAAUGUAGACCGAGUAAGCUAAGAUGGUCACUGCAGCUCAAGGAGGUCAAGAUCGUCGACUUAAAUCACCGUUCCUGACCAAAAAGGAUGACCCAGGCAUGCCAAGCAUCCAGUACUCCAUUAAUGGAUACAACUUCUAGAAGACGCUUUGCGACACCGGGUCAGGCGUCAACAUAAUGGCCGCAGUCACCUAUCAACUCCUGUUCGAAACCAUGCCACUAAAACCGACAUACAUUCAGCUCCAGAUGAUUUUAAGGUUAUUGACAUGGGAGAAUACGAGUACAAGUCCACCCAUCACCCUUGGAAGACCAUUCUUUAGCACCGUUAAAGCAAUCAUAUACAUUGGAACCAGAGAAGUCCACAUGCACUUCCCCUCUCAGAAGGUAUGCCACUGUUUUACUGACCCUAACUAUAUAGUUGAAGACUCUAAGUAGGUCAGGACAAGAAGAAGACAAUGCAACCGCAACCAGAGGAGGCAAAUCAUCAAGGACAGAUGGGCAGACUACGCCAUCCAGCAAUCCUAGGACGACUAAGUAAACGGAGAGUCUCAUUCGGAGGACUUAAAAACAACGAACGCCUUGCCAAGAGGUAAACUUGGUAGUUAUCUUUUUCCUUUCAAUUAUUUAAAAUAGUUUGCUUAGUUAAUCAGGUUCAUAUCAUCUUGAAAAGAAAAUAAAAAUGUUAAAAAUAGUAAGCCUCAUGUGAGUAUGCUCAUGGCAUAAAACCCAUAAGUACAUUCACUGUGGUGGCAUAAAAAUAAAAUAAAUAUAUUCAUGUCCUAUAAAAAUAAAAUUAUAAAAAUAAAUUUAUGAUCCUACUAAAGAGAGUAACAUUUAUUGAGGAGGCUCAACAUGAUAAAGGAUAGAUAUUUAUGCUAACACUUAACUAGUUCCACAAAGCUUUGUUGUCUAUUUGAGCUCCACAGAAUUCAAGGAUCAAAGAAGACUAGCAGACGGAGGACAUCCUAAUCGCUGUCAGGAUGCUGCCGACAUUCAAAUACACCUCCGCCACCUGCUACCUACAUCAGAGGAAAUUACGUCAAAAUCCAGCUUGGGGGAGAGCACCUCCAUUUAUCCAGCUAAGUGUUCUACUCAUGUUUAUACUUUACUCAAAUAAUAAAAAGAUGCAUAAUCAUAAAAACCCAAAUAAAGAUUUUGUGAUUAUAUAUAUCUUUGUUUAGUUUGCUAAAUAAAUAAAUAAAUAAAGUUUUCUAUGAACCCUCAUGAUAAGCUCUCACAUGGAAAUGAUGAAUAGUUGCUCUGCCAUGACUAAUUCUCAAAAUUGAAAUCUCUCUCAAGUUUAGGCAUGACUGUUAUUAAUUAAGAUUUGCUCUAAACCUAAACAUUUGGGAAGAGUACUUGAUCUGAAGUCUAAGUCGUUAACAGAUAUGAUAUGGGAAGGUUGAGCUGUUGUUUAUCUGUUCCUAGAGAUGCUAGAAUUCUGGAGAAUUUUAACUUUGAAAAUCUUUAAAAUGUUGCAUGAUGAGUUCCUGUAUGAUGAGAGUUUAAAUUCCUACCACAGCCAUAUAUACAUGCUUGUUAGACUAUGAACCAUACAUUUACUUUUUACUCCUUAUGGGCAUUGAGUGUGGUCAAGCUGUGUAGACCCUUAGGAGCUUGUCAUGUGGUUAAAUCAAGAUUCACUUGCACGUUCACUCAUACAUGCUGCUUCUACUCCGGAAGUACGCAUCCACAUAUAUCCACCCAUUUCCAUCUCCAGAAUCACCUAAAAAUAUUCUACUCCUAAUCCGGGAGAGAAUAGCCAAAAACAUUUAUGUUUUCCCCUGUGAAAUAAAUGCUCAAGUUAUCUUGGUUACUGCCACUUGCUACAUUAUUUCAAGAGAUGAGUGCUCUAAAAAAAGAAGAAAAAAAAAGAUACGAGGAAAUAAAAAGGCACAAGUGCCCGAAACCUCGAAAGAAAAGAAAAAGUGAGCCGAGAGGUAAAAAUGGACAAAUGUCCGACAGUAGAAUUAGGGGUACAAGAUACCCACCUGAGAGAAAAGAAAAAGAAAAUAUAGAGCAUCUCAUUCUCUCCAAAAGUUUCAAAAGAGCAAGGAAGGUAUGUAUCCCCUCAAAAGAGCACAAGUAGAAUUAGACUUUCACCAUUGUUAUCACCAUCAUCACCAUUGUUAUCACCAUUCAUUCGCCACACAUCCACAUCUUGAUUUGACUUAUUGACUUGUUCUUCUGGAUCCAUGGUUUGACUAUGCAAUAAAUGUCUUGUAAGUAUGUAUUAGCUGUCUCCCACCUAUGAGCUCCAGAUAUCAAAACCUUAUUAGAGUAGGGUGAGAGAGAAGGAAAUGCCAGUAUGCCUUAUACCAAAAAUACCACAUGCUUUGAGAGAAGGCAUACACCAUUACUGCCUUGGUAAGGAUCCAGAACUACCACAAAAGAGAUACUAGAGAGAGUCAUACAAGGAAUCUCUGAGUUUUAUUUGAAAAUCUGCAAAAACCCC
rnacentral:lncRNA from 1 species